CCUACCUGUCGCCCCCUUCCGCGACCAAAAGGAAAGAGUAUCCCCCGGGCCCCAGGGCAAACGCCGCGACUACGGAGGCAACAAAUCACCGCACAAAAAAAAAGAGAGCGAAUAGCGCAGAUCUUCAACCACACAUUCACCCACAAACCAGCGGCGAAACGAAGAAACAGCGGACGCGCUGCUUUCUAUGAUGAAGUGCGACUUUUCCGGGGAGAGAGCCCACGCAAACCCACAAGGCACCCAAGAUAGCGCCCACACUGGCGGCAGAUGGCCGCCGCUGCGUGAAAAUAAUUGCCCUUUAUGCUUUGCUCAUGCAUACCUCCCCUCCGAUUGUCUGGGGUGGCACUGUUGUUGGUUUCGAAGACGGGCUUGACCAUUGUCUUUCAAAGCGCGUUGCGAGAUUAUUUUCACAUUUUCUUUUGCACAUAUUUGGCCGUUACAAAAAGCCCACGCGUGCGCCUCAACAAAAACACUGUUUUGCU
rnacentral:misc_RNA from 1 species